rnacentral:rRNA from 1 species
AAUCAACGCUGGCGGCGUGCCUCAGACAUGCAAGUCGAACGAUUAAAGCUCUCUUCGGAGAGUGCAUAGAGUGGCGCACGGGUGAGUAACACGUAAGUAAUCUACCUUCGAGUGGGGAAUAACGUCCGGAAACGGACGCUAAUACCGCAUAAUGCAGCGGCAUCGCAAGAUGACAGUUGUUAAAGGAGCAAUUCGCUUGAAGAGGAGCUUGCGGCAGAUUAGCUAGUUGGUAAGGUAAUGGCUUACCAAGGCUACGAUCUGUAACCGGUCUAAGAGGACGGUCGGUCACACUGACACUGAGACACGGUCCAGACUCCUACGGGAGGCAGCAGUGGGGAAUUUUGGCAAUGGGGAAACCCUGACCAAGCAACGCCGCGUGGAUGAUGAAGUAUCUUGGUACGUAAAAUCCUUUACGACGGGAAGAAACCGCAAGGUUUGACGGUACCCGUAGAAGAAGCCCGGCUAACUCCGUGCCAGCAGCCGC